rnacentral:rRNA from 1 species
GACGAACGCUGGCGGCGUGCUUAACACAUGCAAGUCGAGCGGUAAGGCCCUUCGGGGUACGACGAGCGGCGAACGGGUGAGUAACACGUGGGUGACCUGCCUCUAGCUCUGGGAUAAGCCUGGGAAACUGGGUCUAAUACCGGAUAUGACUCCACGGCGCAUGUUGUGGGGUGGAAAGCCUUGUGUGGCUAGAGAUGGGCCCGCGGCCUAUCAGCUUGUUGGUGGGGUGAUGGCCUACCAAGGCGACGACGGGUAGCCGGCCUGAGAGGGCGACCGGCCGACACUGGGACUGAGACACGGCCCAGACUCCUACGGGAGGCAGCAGUGGGGAAUCUUGCGCAAUGGGCGAAAGCCUGACGCAGCGACGCCGCGUGAGGGAUGACGGCCUCGGUUGUAA